rnacentral:rRNA from 1 species
CAACUUUCAACAACGGAUCUCUUGGUUCUGGCAUCGAUGAAGAACGCAGCGAAAUGCGAUACGUAGUGUGGAUUGCAGAAUUCAGUGAAUCAUCGAAUCUUUGAACGCACAUUGCGCCCUUUGGUAUUCCAAAGGGCAUGCCUGUUCGAGCGUCAUU